UACGUAGGGGGCGAGCGUUGUCCGGAAUCAUUGGGCGUAAAGAGCUCGUAGGCGGCUCGGUAAGUCGGGUGUGAAACCCCCAGGCUCAACCUGGGGACGCCACCCGAUACUGCUGUGGCUAGAGUCCAGUAGGGGAGUGUGGAAUUCCCGGUGUAGCGGUGAAAUGCGCAGAUAUCGGGAGGAACACCAGCGGCGAAGGCGGCACUCUGGGCUGGAACUGACGCUGAGGAGCGAAAGCGUGGGGAGCAAACAGG
rnacentral:rRNA from 1 species